rnacentral:lncRNA from 1 species
ACCACGAAAGAGUUUAAUCCCUAACGAAAAGAUACUGUGAACACGCCAUGAGUGCAUUGAAGCAAAUGUAGUUGAUCGUCUGACAAAUCUGGAAGGAUUAUGGCUGCCCGAAUCCUUCUAUAGAGAAUGAGACUUUGUUAAAGAGCAUAAUCGUCCUUAGUAGAAUCUAGGGAAACACGUUCGAUUGUUCUCAUUCGCACUAUAACAUUCAGUCUAAAGUAUUAUUCUGAAAGGUAUGUUUUGUAAAUUGCAGCAAAGUGAAAGAAGGUCAUAAUCAAUAAAUAUCGAAAAAUUAGAUAAAGUUUUAUAAAAAUUAUCAGUAUGAAUGAAUAACUUUGUAUAAUCUGCAAUAAGAACGAUGAUAAGCAAAUGUAUAAA